rnacentral:rRNA from 1 species
ACGAGCCACACGAACGUUAUUCGGAAUUACUGGGCUUAAAGGGUGCGUAGGCGGCGCGGAAAGUUGGGUGUGAAAUCCCUCGGCCCAACCGAGGAACUGCGCCCGAUACUGCGUUGCUUGAGGAUCAGAGGGGUGCACGGAAUUUCCGGUGGAGCGGUGAAAUGCGUUGAUAUCGGAAGGAACGUCGGCGGCGAAAGCGGUGCACUGGCUGAUUUCUGACGCUGAGGUGCGAAAGCCAGGGGAGCAAACGGGA